AUACGUAGGGGGCGAGCGUUGUCCGGAAUGACUGGGCGUAAAGGGCGUGUAGGCGGCCGAUUAAGUCUGGAGUGAAAGUCCUGCUUUCAAGGCGGGAAUUGCUUUGGAGACUGGUUGGCUUGAGUGCGGAAGAGGUAAGUGGAAUUCCCAGUGUAGCGGUGAAAUGGGUAGAGAAUGGGAGGAACACCAGUGGCGAAGGCGGCUUACUUGGCCGUAGCUGACGCGUAGGCGGGAAAGCGUGGGGAGGGAACAGGAUUAGAUUCCCUGGUAGUCCACGCGGUAAACGGUGAAUGCUAGGUGUAGGUGAUAUCGACCCCUCCUGUGCCGGAGUGAACACAAUAAGCAUGCCGCCGGGGGAGUACGGCCGCAAGGUUGAAACUCAAAGGAAUUGACGGGG
rnacentral:rRNA from 1 species